rnacentral:rRNA from 1 species
ACGCACGCUGGCGGCGUGCCUAAUACAUGCAAGUCGAACGCCUCUUUCCUCCCGAGUGCUUGCACUCAAUUGGAAAGAGGAGUGGCGGACGGGUGAGUAACACGUGGGUAACCUACCCAUCAGAGGGGGAUAACACUUGGAAACAGGUGCUAAUACCGCAUAACAGUUUAUGCCGCAUGGCAUAAGAGUGAAAGGCGCUUUCGGGUGUCGUUGAUGGAUGGACCCGCGGUGCAUUAGCUAGUUGGUGAGGUAACGGCUCACCAAGGCCACGAUGCAUAGCCGACCUGAGAGGGUGAUCGGCCACACUGGGACUGAGACACGGCCCAGACUCCUACGGGAGGCAGCAGUAGGGAAUCUUCGGCAAUGGACGAAAGUCUGACCGAGCAACGCCGCGUGAGUGAAGAAGGUUUUCGGAUCGUAAAACUCUGUUGUUAGAGAAGAACAAGGACGUUAGUAACUGAACGUCCCCUGACGGUAUCUAACCAGAAAGCCACGGCUAACUACGUG